UUCCAAAUUCAGACCUGAAUCAAGCGUGAAUAGUGUGUCCAUUUUUGUCCGAACGGUUCAGGGUUGGACCUCUGCGGUCGUAUCCAACUGCGUUCGGCGAAGCAAUUUAAUAAAGACUUAAAUAUAAUUUUAUAUACAUAUUAAGUUGUGAAUAUGGUGAAACUGAUCCUCAAAAUAAGUUUAAACUGCCCUGGUGUGGAAUAAAUUUGUGUUAAAUUGAUCAUACUUCUUAAUUUACUUAUUUCAAUCAGUUUUAAAUAUUGUAUACUGCCUUAAUGAUAACAUCUAUAAUACUAAAAUUACGAGGUCCAAUUUGUCAGCCGUCAUCACGUAAAAACGAUGAAUCAAAGAAUUCAACUUUAUAUAUAACUAAUAUAGUACAAUGGUGUUGAUUAAAAAUUACACCACUCUAGGCCCAUUUGUUUUCCACGUAAUUAAUAUUGCCAAUAAUUAUGAAGUUCCGGAUCGAGUCCGACACCGAUACCAAUAGUAUAUUCACCUGUUACCUAUUACCUUAUCUGUACGUUCCGCAUCAGACAGGCGCACCACCAAACAGUGUAUUUAGAAUUUUGCUGUAUACUGUUGAGUAAAAAAUAUUCCAUUCCAGGCCCUUUUGUUUUCCAAAUUAUUAAUAUUACCAAUAAUUGAUAGGUCCCAGGUCGACGGGUUCAAACAGAAAGAUUUUGAAAGCAGAGAAAACUGUGCACCUUAUACAUGUUAUAAUCGGCAUGAAUUUAUCAGAUGACAAUACCAAUACUAAAAUAAGGCAUACGCAUAGUUAUAUAUCAGUCACGGACCCACGAUAUCACGGGUGUGUUCUAGUAUAUAAUAA
rnacentral:lncRNA from 1 species